GACGAACGCUGGCGGCAGGCCUAACACAUGCAAGUCGAGCGAACCCUUCGGGGUUAGCGGCGGACGGGUUAGUAACGCGUGGGAAUAUACCCUUUGGUACGGAAUAGCCUCGGGAAACUGAGAGUAAUACCGUAUGUGCCCUUCGGGGGAAAGAUUUAUCGCCAAAGGAUUAGCCCGCGUUGGAUUAGAUAGUUGGUGGGGUAAUGGCCUACCAAGUCUACGAUCCAUAGCUGGUUUGAGAGGAUGAUCAGCAACACUGGGACUGAGACACGGCCCAGACUCCUACGGGAGGCAGCAGUGGGGAAUCUUAGACAAUGGGCGCAAGCCUGAUCUAGCCAUGCCGCGUGGACGAUGAAGGCCUUAGGGUUGUAAAGUCCUUUCAGAUGGGAAGAUAAUGACGGUACCAUCAGAAGAAGCCCGGCUAACUCCGUG
rnacentral:rRNA from 1 species